GCUGCACGGCUUCCGAAGCCACCCCGUACCCCUCCGCCACUGCACGCUGAUCGCAGGGAUGGGCGGGAGAGUGGACAGACCCAGGAGUGUUCUCCUGUCUGCUUGUCGGCCCUGAAGUAUGAAGAGAGCAGCCACUGUGGGGAGGCAGAAAGCAGGGUGCACCACGGCUGUUAGGUGCCAGUUUCUAGCCUCAGUUUAGAAGUACUGACAGGGUGGAGGCAAAGAGCCUUUACGGAAAGACAGGGUACUCUAGUUCUCACCCAGUAAACUCCAAAUCCACCGGGAAGCCGGAAGCCGUAGGUUUUGUCUGUUUCGCUUUGCUUUUUGCCUUUUAUCAUAGAGGUGUUUUCACCAGGGGCCAUGGCUGGAGAUCUAGAUAUAGGAUGUCCACACUUGUGCCUGUGAGGAAGGGAGCCCCUUCUUGUUUCAGGUCUCAGAAACACUCGCAUAAAGCUUUGCCUCCCCUCUCAGGAUUUUGGACUGUGUGUUUCUGUGGCAAGCUGGUGGUUGGUCUGCCUUCAUGCUAGCUGAUGAACAUGUCCAGUGAAUACUCGCUCCUAGUUUGAUGGUGGUUUUUUUUUUUUUAACUUCCCUCUCUCUUCCAACGUCAUCCCCAGCAUCACAGCAUGCCCUGCCCUAGCUUGCUCCUUUGCCCGCUGUGAUUCUAUUGCAUGUAUUCGGCGGUGUGCUGUGGAAUUUCUGUGUAUUUCUCAAGCUGUUUUCAGUCUUCUCACUAAAUAUUUCAAGCUUGUUUCAUAGUCCUCUGAACACAGGGAGGUUGGUUGCAUAACAUUUCAAGGUCAGUAAGUCUGUUUGGCAUCUUUUGUGUCUCCUGGCUCAAACUUCUGGUAUCCCUCAUUUGUGUGUGUGGCGUUGUCGAAGUUCAGGUUAGCAUGUUUGCAAAUUCAUGGGCAGGAAUAAAUGGAGACCCAGAUGAUAGUGCCUUUCACAGGACUUGUUGGCCCUGCUACGACUUGAGAGCCAUGUCUGCUUGAGGUGGCCUUCGUUGAUGGAUUUGUAGUUCCUAGGCACUCUAGGGGGUUAAAAAAACAAAUAAAAACAAAACAGACAAACAAACAAACAAGGCUUCAGACCUUGUCUCUUUUAGCUCAUUGUCCCAGGAACAUGGACCUUUGGAGGGCCUCCUGUGUAAAGUGGAGACUCUGCUGUAGUUGUUCCCUUAAAGGACCCCGGGCUUUGACAUACUGAAGUGCUCCCUCCGAUCGGCUGUCAGCAGGAAGCAUAGGACCAGAACAGAAGCAGCGCCAUCUUCCAGGCAGAUGUGAGGCCAGCUUAAAAUAGCAGAAGUGGGACAGGAGACUGGGAUGCUGGAGAUGCCCGGGAAGCCGACCCAGCUCGCCUCGCUGUUGGGUUGCAGUGGAGUCUAAGAAAACGAGGAAGAGAUGAAACCCGAGUUUCUUGGCAGUGCGCUGAAGGAGCGUCACAGUGGAAGAUGAGACUGGGAGGGCGUGUGGGAGGAAAAGCUAGGGUCUGGUGCUUAGACCUCAGUUUUGCAGGACCGAGAAGUCAGUGGGGAACCCUGAACCCCUCCUGUCCCUGCUGCUCUCAACUAAGUGUGGAGCUUUGAAAGAAGGCACGAGCAGGGGUGUGGCUGCUGCUGCCCUAGUUGAGAGAAGACCUUAUCCAGUCAGGAAGAUUAGGAGCCAGGAAACCAGUGCUGUGUUCCCCUGGGUGUUGGGAGUUACACGGCGCUAUCCCUAAGACAGCUGCGUUCCGGGUGUCAGGGGGGCUUUAAAAUGCCAGUGUGCCCCCUUCUAGUCACAAUUGUUUUCACAAGGUCAUCAGCCAGUCACCUGCCUCGUGCAGUCUCUCCACAGCGAUAAGGACAAAUCUCUCUGUAGCCUUCCAUGGCCCCCAAGGGACCUAGUCAUCCCUGUUGGCUUGACCUUGCUAAAAAGCUGGUCCAUGGCAGCCGCAGCCUGAAGAGCAGUCUCACCUCAAGGUCGUGCCACCUGGAUGGAGCUGUGUCUAUGGACUGUGUCCCCUUCGUCUCGCCUGCACUGCCUGCACCAAAAUAAUCAACAUCACACAGCCUCAUUUCACACAUGCUGAGACUUGAUCAUCGGAUCUUUGAAGAAAGAAAGUGUCAUCCUUUUCUCCUCUUUGAGCCAUCCUUCCUCCUUCUGUUUUUCUCCUACUUCAUCAGAUUUCCCACAAAAAUGUUCUACUUGUCUGUUGCCAGAGCCCAGUUCUGGAGGGUAAAGGACAGCACAGCGUAUUUGGCUUCUGUCUCCUGGGAGCUGAUUAGGAGGAGCGCCGGCCACUGAGCAGGGUGAAGCCAGGAUAAAGGCAGAGCCUGUGUUGGCUCAGGUGGCUGCUCUCUCAGAGAGGAAGCUCUCUCCCCUCUCUCCUUCAUGGAGGCUGGGUACCAUACCCGUGCCUGUGGCAGCGUUGAAUGCUGUUUUGGCUAAUGUUACCUGGACAUGGUCUGGACAUGGUCUGGACAGGUUGGCUUUAGUUCCUGUGGCUCCCAUGGCUCCUUCCUCUGUGUGGCCCAGUCUUAUCUCUGAGGAUGCUGUGACACUGAACAAAGGGGUUCCUACCAGAAAAAAAUGCACUCUUGGUUCUGGGCACUGGUGUGAAGGAGACCAGUGUUUUAAGGCUGCAAUCCAGCAGCAGGGAAGGCAGGGAGGACGCCACACAAGAAAAUCUUCAUGGCCCAGAGCAGUGCUGGGGCCAAGCCCUUGCCUUUGUCCCUGCCAUCUGGUCAGUAGCCUUGAAGAAGUGAGAGACUCCACCACUGCCAAGCCACCCAAGUGGGGCAGAAGCCCAAGAGAAAAAUGGUUUUUCCUGUCCAUGUAGAUUUGCAGGAAUGACAUUCAAAAUUGGAAAUUUAACCUUUCCUCAUCUUUUGUUUUCUGCUCAUGUUAUGAACACUCAGACCUUGUCAUUUUUUACCCAAGUGGUGGUGACACCUUUAAUGCCAACAAUCAGGAGGCAGAAGAAGGCAGAUCUCUGACAUUGAGGCCAACCUGGUCUACAGAAUAAAUUUCAGGACAGCCAGGACUAAAUCGAGAAACCGUGUCUCAAGAAAACCAAAAGAAAAAAAACAAAACAAAACAAAGUAAACAAGCAAAAACAAAACUUUGUCAUUUUUGGAAGGCCAGUGCCAGUGCUCCUACCACAGCGAAUGCCCCUACCACAACGUGUCUGCCGCUCUUCCCCUGUCCACCCCUGCCUCCAUCUUGCCUCUCCUUCUCCCUCCUAAUAUAGAGAAGACUGAUUGAAACUCAUCUUGAGUUUUAGGACAGACAGUUUCAAUACCCCCACACACAAAUACUUUAACUAGUCUUGCUGCCCAGAGUGGGGCUUCUAGGCCCCCCUCAGAACAGAAAUGCAGAGAUGGAGCCUCCCUUAGGCUCCGUGAGCCAGGGUCUGCACUGUAGGUAGUGUUCUUGGUGAGCCAGAGACAUGGUCAAGUGUGAGAAAUGCUGCUUCUCCCUUGGAAGAAGCAUGCAGGGAAGCCUGAAGCCACAAGGACAUACUAUAUUCACCAACAUUCUAGCUGAUCCAGGAUGCUCUAGACUCUAGAGGCCGCAUACACCUCCACUCUCAGUGCAAAGACACCAGCCCAAGGUGGCUGAUGUCUUCAGGGUGCCCCUUCAGGGUGCCACAUGCCAGCCACAAUCUCAAGUAAUUUGCAACUUUGUCCACUGGGCUUGAAAUUAGUCCCACAGGAGACCAAGGCCUAGAGAAUUUUAAUUCUCAACUGGUGAGAGCUCUUCCUUUCCAGUGGAGGCCCACAUAGCCUGCUGGGCCUAGCCAAUUAUGUAAUUGUGGACAAUUUAUGUGAUUGUGUUCCAAGGGAGCUUGUGGACAGCCAGGCCUGGAAUGCCAGUGUGUUCCUUUACACAAUGAGCAGAAACUUGUUUGAGUCCCAGGCUGCUGGAAAAAAAAAAUCACUAAACUAGGAUUGCCCGGUUGUGACUGUCAAGGAUCGUUUAGCCGGAUCAGGCCUGUCGGCGGUGGUUUUGCCAUUCCCAUUCUCACAUAAGAACACGUGGGCACAGAUACAAUAAGGAAGGGCCUCAGCUCCUUACCAGGCUGUCUGUCAUCUCACCUCUGAUUUAGAUCCUCCACCACCCAUGGUAUGGAACGUUGGCAGCCGUGCUGGAUUGCUACAUAUCUGUAUGAUGCUUUUGGAACUCUGGGCUUUAGUUCUGGUAGUUUGCCAGCCUAUAUGUGCUAACAGGUUGCCAUAAUGCAAACCUUACUUGUAUACAUUUCCUACCAGGGAUGCAUUUUGAAAACAUGUCUUGUCCAGUAGAAAGCAUGGAAACUUCCCGGUGCCAGGCUGGGCAUUGACGAGCAUACCCUCAGCAGCCUGCCUGAUGGGUAGGUGUGGGUAGACUGCAGUCAAGUCAGCAGAGGUUGAGUCCUGGCUCUGCUGUUAACUCAGUGACUCUGGGUAGUCUCUCAGUGUCUCCUGGUUGUGAGAACCUUAUGUAACGCUGCUUGAGAUAGCACUAGGCACACGCUAAGUUGACAGCACAGUUUUCAUUCAAUCUGAAGUAUAGCAGCCUUAUUUGCCUCCCUUGGGCGCUAUGUACAAGUGCAAGGAUCAAAUGCAAAGGCUAGCAGGGAGUUCUCCCUCCUGAUUCCUAGAAUGCUCAUUCACAGCCAGUAUCUCCCAAAGCCAGCACAGCAGGAAAGGCAGAGGAGGCUAGAGGCAAGCUAGCUGCACAGUGGGGACAACUCCUCCUCGGACGAUGGAACCCACAGUGCUUUAGGUCAAGAGGCUCGUUAGCCCAACCAGACGCAGAUCUGUAAGGCUGGGCAGUGGGCAGACUGUGGACACUUGCUCUUUCCUCUGAGCUCGAGUUGCUAUGAGCUCCAGCCGAGACCCUAGUUCUUGCUGUACAUGGAAGGGCACAUGCCAAAGUCAAGAGCCUGAAGGUCAAGUGCCAUCUUCCAGCUUCUUGAUCCAUUUGCAGAACCUGUGGGGAGGAGCCUUAGAAAUCCAGAGCACUGUAAGUAGCUUCUUCUCUUUCCCAUUCUGCAAAUGCCAGGGCUGAUCAGGUCCACAGAGUGGGAGGAUGCUUCCUGCCCCAGGGAUGCUUCCUGAGGCUGGCACCGUAGAGCUAGAACUAUGUGUAGAAAGUCAUGUGGAAGAGUAAGGUGUAUAUUCCGAGCUUCUGGGCUAAUACCCUCUUAUCAGUGAGUGCAUACCCUGUGUGUUCUUUUGUCAUUGGCUUACCUCACUCAGGAUGAUAUCCUCCCGAUACAUCCAUUUGUCUAAGAAUUUCAUAAAUUCGUUGUUUUUAAUAGCUGCGUAGUACUCCAUUGUGUAAAUGUACCACAUUUUCUGUAUCCAUUCCUCUGUUGAGGGACAUCUGGGUUCUUUCCAGCUUCUGGCUAUUAUGAAUAAGGCUGCUAUGAACAUAGUGGAGCAUGUGUCCUUCUUACCAGUUGGAACAUCUUCUGGGUAUAUGCCCAGGAGUAGUAUAGCUGGGUCCCCGGGUAGUACUAUGUCUAAUUUUCUGAAGAACCACCAAACUGAUUUCCAGAGUAGUUGUACCAGCUUGCAAUCCCACCAGCAAUGGAGGAGUGUUCCCCUUUCUCCGCAUCCUUGCCAGCAUCUGCUGUCACCUGAGUUUUGAUCUUAGCCAUUCUGACUGGUGUGAGGUAGAAUCUCAGGGUUGUUUUUAUUUGAAUUUCACUGAUGACUAAGAAUGUUGAACAUGUUUUUAGGUGCUUCUCAGCCAUUUGGUAUUCCUCAGUUGAGAAUUCUUUGUUUAGCUCUUUAUCCCAUUUUUAAUAGGGUUAUUUGGUUCUCUGGAGUCUAACUUCUUGAGUUCUUUGUAUAUAUCGGAUAUUAGCCCUCUAUUGGAUUUAGGAUUGGUAAAGAUUUUUUCCAAUCUGUUGGUUGCCAUUUUGUCUUAUUGACAGUGUCCUUUCCCUUACAGAAGCUUUGCAAUUUAAUGAGGUCCCAUUUGUCAAUUUUUGGUCUUACAGCACAAGCCAUUAGUGUUCUGUUCAGGAAUUUUCCCCCUGUGCCCAUAUGUUCGAGGCUCUUCCCCACUUUCUCCUCUAUAAGUUUCAGUGUCUCUGGUUUUAUGUGGAGUUCCUUGAUCCACUUAGACUUGAGCUUUGUACAAGGAGAUAAGAAUGGAUUGAUUCUCAUUCUUCUAUUUGCAAAACACAUGAAACUCAAGAAAAAGGAAGACCAAAGUGUGGCUACUUCGAUCCUUCAUAGAAGGGGGAACAAAAAACCCAUGGAAGGAGUUACAGAGACAAGUUUGGAGCAGAGACUGAAGGAAUGGUCAUCCAGAGACUGCCCCACCUGGGGAUCCAUCCCAUAUACAACCACCAAACCCAGACACUAUUGUGGAUGCCAAUGAGAACUUGCCGAUAGGAGCUUGAUAUAGCUGUCUCCUGAGAGGCUCUGACAGUGCCUGACAAUUACAGAAGUGGAUGCUCACAGCCAUCCAUUGGACAGAGUACAGGAUCCCCAAUGAAGUAGCUAGAGAAAGUACCCAAGGAGCUGAAAUGGUUUGCAGCCCCAUUGGAGGAACAACAAUAUGAACUAACCAGUACCCCCAGAGCUCCUUGGGACUAAACCACAAAUCAAAGAAAAUGCAUGGUGGGACUCAUGGCUCUAGUUGCAUAUGUAGCAGAGGAUGGCCUAGUUGGUCAUCAAUGGGAGGAGAGGCCCUUGGUUGAGUGAAGGUUCUCUGCCCCAGUGUAGGGGAAUGCCAGGGCCAGGAAGCAGGAGUGGGUGGGAGAAUGGGGACUAUGGGGAGAGAGGAGGGGAUAGGGGUUUUCGGAGGGGAAACCAGGAAAGGGCAUAACAUUUGAAAUGUAAAUAAAGAAAAUAUCUAAUAAAAAAAGAAGAGGAAAAAAGAGUAAGGUAUGAAGUGGGGCAAGGGGAGAGGUGUGGUUAGUCAACUAGCCUGCUGGAUCUACUUCAGCAAUGAUUGCUGAGUCCAUGAGAGGGGAUUGAGAGCUUCUUAUGGCUUGGGUUGGGGUUGAGUAACCCAUGUCCCCUGAGGAAGAAUCAUUAUAGAUAUGUGUAUUUACAAACAUGCCUCAGCUGUACUAUUCUUACCCAUGAAUGUCAUGGCUAACUAAACUAUCAAAACCCAGCAUUCCAAGUGGCCAGUUGCCACCUCAGAUUAAAUUGGAUGGAUGUUGGAUUGACUGUUCUGUAGUUAGUGGCAUUCCGCUCUACAGAGUGGUCUUGUGUCUUCCUCUUGGGGUGCUCAGGUGAUGUUGAGGCUCCUAGUGCUGCGAAAGCAUCCUCGCUUUGUUAGACACUUCCCCUCGCUCGACUGUGGGAGCUGGUGUCAGCAACUCUCCAAAUAAAAGCCGACCACCAGCUUAGCAGCUGUCUCCUUUCAUUGUGACUAGCCAUCUUCUCUCCCAGGAAGCAGAUUCUGUCCUGUAUCCCAUUAGAAUAUGGGAAGGAGACAGUAAGUAGUGAGACAACGGGGCUUCUCUUUUCUUCCGAAGAUGCAUGAGAUUGGUGUGCAGGGCUGGAAAAGCUCUCGCUGUCCUUUCCCGAGUGAGCAGUAACUUUCUGAGCUGUUGGCCGCCGUGAGCUCUAUGGAAGCAGCAUGCAUCUGCACUUGGCUGUGGCCAUCUUUACUUGUGACGGUUAAUGCCUCACAGAUGCCUUUGCCCUGCGUGCUUUCCUGGGAGUCUGGGACCGAGAGCUCUAGAACUUAGGAAUUAGGCAUUGUCUUAGUUGGGACAUCUGGUUUACUGUCCCGUCCCCCGCACCCCCUCCCGUUUGAGCCACAGGGAGAGUGGAGGAGGGGUGGCAGGGCUUUAGAGAAGCCACAUGAGGAGUAAACAGGGUUGGAAUGUCUCUUGGUCACUCUUGACUCCAUCAUCCCGUACAGAAGUCCAGGAGCAAUGAAGGCCAUGGUGUUCUGCCAGCUCACAAGUUUUGGGUCAUAUUGAUUGUGAGUGAUUAGUACUAUUCAGUGUCUAAUGGAAGACCAAUGUCACUAAAAACUGUUGUCAUGGGGCUGGAGAGAUGAUGGCUUAGCAGCUAGGGGUGCUUGUUCUUCUAGAGGACCUGAGUUUGAUUCCCAGCACUCACUGCAUGUAACGCUAGCCCCACCCACAAGAUCUGCCUCUGACUGCCAAGGGCACCAGUACUCACAUGAGCACACCAAAGACGCAGACAUGCACACGUAUACAAAAUUGAAAUAUAUUCACCUUAAAUUUGUUGUGCUUCCCUGAUCAUAGUCAUAGAACAUCAUAGAAGGCUUGUGGAACAUAGAUGAAAUGGAGGCUGGGGAAAUGAUUUAGAGCUCCUUCGGGGGACUCAGGUUUGAUCCCCAGAACUCACCAACAUCCUUAACUCCAAUGUCAGGGGAUCUGAUGCCCUCUCUAACCUCUGUGGGCACUGUGCAUGCACAAAGUGCACAUACACACUAGCAAAAUAUUCAUAUACAUAAAAUACACAUUUAUGUAUAUUAUACAUAUACAUAAAAUACAUAUUUAUACAUAUAAAAUAAAUGGAAAAAUAUUUAAAGAUGAAAUGGAAAGAAGUUGUUUACAGUCCCAGUUUUAUAGAAAUCCUUUACAUCACACACACACACACACACACACACACACACA